UGCAAACAAAAACAGCAAGUCCUCUGGGUUUUGAACAAAAGAAUUUUACUGUACAAACAGGAAGGUCAACAUCCAAAAACCCAUUAAUAAACUUCCUCAAUGGACCUUAUUCUGCACCAAACAAACAUCCACAAUUUCAGCAACAACCUACAAUCGACACAAACGAGUCGCCUGAGGGAGAUGACAACCGCCAUCCUCACCGGAUUUGUGGCCGGAGUUCGGUUUUUGAACAUAAAACACCAAAUCCACCUGGUUUGCCAUGUAUAUGGAGCGAUUAUUAAAGCGCCGCCGCUCGCCGGAAGAAACAAUGGCUGGCUAGCCGUUCUCUUUCACAAUUUGUGUGUUUGACUAAUUUCCCCUCAUGUGAGAUACUUGUGUUUCUUUUAAUUCUUGUAU